rnacentral:lncRNA from 1 species
GACCUUCAGUGUCUCGGGAUUGUGGCACGCUUCGUCUUCAUUCUCAGAUUCUCCUGAUUAUCUUUUUGAGUGUGUUGGGAGGCAUCACAUGUGGAGCGCUGGCUCUUAUGCUCUCCUCUCUUCUCCACCUCUACAGGGUACUUCGAUUACAGAUGACAGAGAGAUCACUGAGCCACAUGUUGAACCUGGUAUAAAUGUCUUAUUUUACAUCAUUGAUACAUUUUUGAGAUUCUAG